rnacentral:lncRNA from 1 species
GUUUGGUAUAGGUAUAAGAAAUUAUUGGUACAGACUGGUCUUUGAAAUAAGGAGGUAUUUUCGAUUGUACUAAUUUAUGAUGAAGGAUAUUGCCUAGGUUAACGCCAUCGAGACCUUUGUUGGCAAAGGAAAGAUUAAGAAAAAAUCUUUUCUCUUUUUCAUCUUUUCCAAUGCAAACUGGCUUGAAAAGUCUGUGACUUGCAAUAUCCG